AUAUAUUCAUUUUUUAUAUUAUUGCUACUUCCAGAUUGCAACGUCGUUUAGGAAGUCCUUAUCAAUACCAAUGUAAAGCCGCAACUAUUUUUAGAUUCGCAUAGUCCUGCGAUUGUGUUCUUAAAAAUAUUUGCUUGAAUUUAGCAACAUAAGUUCAGCAUUGUUUUUAUGUGUAUAAUUGCCAGUGAAAAAUAAAUAUGUACAUCCGUGUUUAUAAGGGAGGGCAACCAAAUCUGAUUUAAGAGCCCGUUUAUUUAUAGUUUAUUUUUUGUGUUCCUUUUUUUACUUCGUAUACAACAUAUCUUAUCAGAAUAUCUCACUCAUCAAUAAUACGAUAUAAUCCGCAAUUUUAAACUCACCAAUUUUAGCAAUAAAAUGGCUGGUAUUAUUAGUUCACUUUUCAUAUCAACCUCGAUUGGAUUACGAUGAGUUCUGUUCCCAUUUGUGUGUUUGUUUUAAAUUAGGAAAAUAUAUGAACAUUGUUUAUAAAUUAACAAUAAUUUUUACAUACUUCCAUGUAGUUUCUUUAUAGUCGUCUUUAAAUGCCAGAGCGAAAUCAUUAGAUUAUUUUGAAUUUGAAUUAAGAAUGCACAUUCUUGUGAUGUGAUUCUUAAAACAUUUUAGCUGCGUGCGAAAUGGGAAAUAUGAAAUUUGCAUUGUGUUUCUAGUAACAGGAGGCAAGAGACAAACUCUUGUUGUAAAUCGUUCUUAUAUUGUGCUUCCUCAGGAGCCUCCCAAUUCUGUUCGAAACCCUGGGAACAAAGGGCAGAAAAGCCUGUAGAGAAGAUUCCUUCCUUUCAACACGGCCCACUCCUACAGAUCUUUUGAUGAUUGAUCCCAACUGGGAAUAUCCGUUCUGAAGAAGUGCCUCUUUCAAGUGCUGUAGUUCUGCGGUUAGAUGUUCUGGUCCACAUAUUUUUUCUAGCUCUAUCCGUAAGAGUUCUCAUGAUUCCUUGCUUCGGUACCACGAGUACUAUAAAUCUUUGAAGCAUAAGUCAACAAAUAAAUGAAAAACCAUCUACAACUAAAAAUCGAACUACCAAAAACAGUGAAGUCGCAGAUGAACCCCUCGAAGACUGAUGACGAAUAAUUUUUUCCCUAUUUUUAUGCUAUUUGUUCGGUUUCAUUUUAGUUAAAUAAUAUUAUUUAAUUAUGUCAAUAAAGGGCGUAUUGCGUUUUACAGUCGGCAAUUUUAUUUCCUGCAACUUUCUUGCACACAAUAUUUCGUUCUACGCUUGCGCAUUUUAUCGGUUUUCGAGUUGCCGGCUAUAGUUCCAAACUUAAAAUGUAUUGCACUAGCCGCAAUUUUAGUGACUUAUAAUUUAUUUUAUGCUGCCAACUGUUCCCUUAUAGUAAUAUCCCUUGUUAUUUUAUGUUCUUUUUUGUUUAUUUAGCGAUGGCUUAAUCCACCACCAUUGCCUUUGUUUUGCACAGGAUUUUUUAGGCUGUAAAAUAAUUAAUAGAAUUGCAGUAGCAAUUACUAUUGUUUUGCGUGUCGGAUCUUCUCACUGGCAUAUUUGCUUAUUUUCGUUUUUUAUCUAAAUACACUCGAACUUAUGUUAAUCACAAUAAUCAAUAAUUCCCUUGGCAAUAUGAAUGUAAACUCAAACGAAAACAAAACCAACAAACAAAAGUUAGUAUUUUUCACGUGUAGUGAAUAGUUGGUACGCUUGAUCGAUUUGCCUAAUUGUGAGGCAAACGUUGCACAGAAUGCACAGUGUAAAGCGCAGUACUUAAAUUAUAGCCUCAAGAAAGUUGCGGCCAAUAAAAUUGCCGACUGUAAAACGCCCUUAAGAUACACAAACGUUAUAGAACUCCUAUACACUAUAGAAGACUGAGGUUACAUGCCAGGUAUUGCAGCCGUCACUGCCGACUAGCUACUUGACGUCACAACUGGUCCCAGCCAAUGACGGCGUGUUACAAGAAUUAUUUGAAUUAUGCAGUUUUUAAUUGUUUAUAUUAAUUACAUGGAAAUCAAAAAUGAUUUUUUUGGUAAA